UGGGGAAUAUUGCACAAUGGGCGCAAGCCUGAUGCAGCCAUGCCGCGUGUAUGAAGAAGGCCUUCGGGUUGUAAAGUACUUUCAGCGAGGAUGAAGGCGUUGUGGUUAAUAACCGCAGCGAUUGACGUUACUCGCAGAAGACGCACCGGCUAACUCCGUGCCAGCAGCCGCGGUAAUACGGAGGGUGCAAGCGUUAAUCGGAAUUACUGGGUGUAAAGCGCACGCAGGCGGUCUGUCAAGUCGGAUGUGAAAUCCCCGGGCUCAACCUGGGAACUGCAUCCGAAACUGGCAGGCUAGAGUCUUGUAGAGGGGGGUAGAAUUCCAGGUGUAGCGGUGAAAUGCGUAGAGAUCUGGAGGAAUACCGGUGGCGAAGGCGGCCCCCUGGACAAAGACUGACGCUCAGGUGCGAAAGCGUGGGGAGCAAACA
rnacentral:rRNA from 1 species